UAUGAAACUUUGAAACAAUUUUUUUCUCGUAGCUGUCCACUUCUCGUUGUUACAUAUAAUUUUCUUCCUCAACUUAACACUUUUCACGUACAGAACGUGACACCAGGUGGAAAUUCCCAAGAGAGAAAUAAGUUUGAACGAUGCCUGGGUCUCCGAGACUCCGUGGCUGAAGUUUCUGAGUAAUACGCCUCUGAGUUGAGUCAAGAUAAGUUGAUGGAGAUCCAGAGAAUGAGAUGGCGUUGGGUAAGAUAUUUACACUGAGAGGAAACUUUCGUAGAUUUUACGUAAUAUAUCUUGUUAGGUGCGUAUGCUUUCGUAUCCAACGCGUUUUAAUUCUUCAUUUUCACAGUGAGUUACCAAGAGGAUAUAGAGAAUGAAAUAUUCCUUUGAAAAUGGGUCAUUAUACCAUUAAAAAUAUCCUAUUACGUACGAUUCCAUUGGUAUUGUUUACAAUACGUUUUCAGAUCAACAGGACACGAUACAUUAAAAUAACCAUAAACAUUCGAUGAAAUAUUCAGGGUAUAUGAGCCAAUAUACGAUGGAUUCAAAGCCUCAUUUGAUCGGAGCUCAUGAGGUUAAUGUUUGGAGUCCUCGGAAUCAAGGAUUGAAGCAUGCAAUUUACAUCAAUGCGGCAUUCCGUUGGCACUAUUCAACAACACCGAGUAAUUGAGUCAUAAAAUAAUCCUUCAAUGAUAUAUUCAAUUUCCGAAGUAGAAAAUGACGGAGCAACUUCUUAUCCUUCAAUCUAAAUAUACAAGUGAAGUUUAAUGCCAAUUUCCCAAGCAUGAAAUUACAGAAUAACUUCUUGUCCCUCAAUCUAAAUUUAAGAGUGAAGUUUAAUGCUUGAGGAAUUAUCAUCAUCAGGCACAUGUUGGCAGCUGUUUAUAGCGUACAUUGCGAUAUAUCAGACGUAAUAUUUCCAGUUAGUGCAUCAAUUAGUGGUCACUUAAAAAUAUCUUUAUUGCCUGGGAUAUCCACAUCAUUGUAUUUACACCCCGCGGAGGUCUGGGGGAAUAUAAGGACUUCCUUACAACGGGGUGCUUCAGUAUGGAAGUAAACUAGUCUGGAUAUUUCACUGAAAUGUUCCCACAACAUCAGUAAAGAUCAUAAUGAAUCAUCCAAAAUUAGCGACAAUAGUUAGGACUAAUUUUGUUCUCAAGCUUGGUCCAAUCUACCCAACAAUAUUAAGCAGUUUUUGCGAAAUCGCUUUUUAUAAAUCAUUUGUUUUUGAAAAAUGUUUUGAUAUUGGACGAAACUCAUGAUGAUUCCAUUACAUAAUGUAAUAUAAUUAUAUUAUACUUUAAAAUAUUUUAUUUCCCAGAAUACAAUUUUUAUCAAAGCCGUCAAAAUUCAAUAGGACAUCGGCAAUUAGUCGACGAAUUGUCGACUGGAUUAUCAUAGACAUAAAUAUUUGUAUAACAUCAUUCAAAGUUCACAAUCAAAAAGAUUUUUUUCAACUAUAACAUUUUUCCAUCCAUCAUUAAUUUCACAUUAAUAAUGAGGUUUUUCAAAUACAGCAAUUAGCAGUGCAAUGCAACAGUCGACACUACAACCACUAGAAUAAUCUUUUUUCGGAAGGUGUUUGUCUUUGAGUCGCUUCUCGAAAUCUUCUCUGUAAGGUUUUUGAAGAUCAGCUGGUAGCCGCAUGACAAAUGGAUUAACAGACAUCACCAAAUCUGAAAUUAAAAGACACUCCAGUUCCUGGUACAUUCAUUUAUCCAUCGUGGCGAUAUUAUUCUCUUCCUCGAUUGAGAGUUUAUUACUUCGAAUCUUACCAAUCAGAGCCUCCAUCCUUGGAAUAUCUUCAGCAUCCGGAUGCCCGUGUUGCGGAGAGCGUACCUGCAUAUAUGCUGAAAAUCUUGGAUCUUCACGUUGUUCGGAGUAGACAUCGAAUAUCAUAUGAUGAGAGAUUGUCAAAAUAAUGGCUUUACCCCCUGGACGAAGAAGUUGGUAAAAAUUUCUCAACGCGCCCUUCGUGUUUCUACACCAAUGAAGACAAUAGAACGACGUGGCAUUAUCAAAUUUUUCAAUCAAGUUAUUAGGCAAUUCGGGUGUUUGAAUAUCUAAUUGCAUGUACGACAGUUUAUUUGUCACAGAGUAAUUUUGCUCUGCAUAGGCAACCAUGUAAGGGCAUAGGUCAGCACCUGGAAAAAGGGGUAACAAAUGACUUUAUUAAUAUGUGGAGGUCGGUUAAGGGAUCAACCUCUGGUAUAAUUUGGUAAUUAUUACCGACAAUAGUAGCAUUUUCCCCCACAGCUGGAAGUAGUACACCCUUUGUAAUAUUUCCAGGUCCGCAUCCGAUGUCAAUAAUGCGGCCCUUCAUUUUUUUGAACACCUCGGGGAACUCUUCAACCAGAUCUUCUAUAUCACGGUACUGGAGGCUGUUUGAGUCGUCAUAUUCCUUCGGUUGAUUCAUGAUCAGAUCUUUCACGUGUCAACGGAAUAAUUUAUUGACGUAGCGAAGUGACCGCGUGAUUAAACUGUGUACUUCAAUCAUUGAUUCUAAGGGCUUUAAACAUGCACCUCAUCCUUCGAACAAAUGAAGGUUCGAAUCUAUCGCAUAUUGAUUCUUAUUUUCUGAAACUUUCAUCCAAUUUUAAUAGUUAUUUGAAUGCAUCGCCUUUCGUUGGUCUGAAAACUUAUUGUAGACGAUAUCAAUGGAAUCACAUGUAAUAAGAUAUUUUUAAUGGAAUACUGACUUACUUUCAAAGGAAUAUUUCAUUAUCUACGUUCUA